GCUGCCGCGACCGAAUCUCUCCCGACGCAUUCAUCGCCCCUUGUUAUCUUGCCCUCCGUUACAGGAAGAAAAGCUAGAUUAAACUGCAUGGCCACCGCCUUCGCGUCUACAAACCUGUCCAUGCUAGCAUCCUCCCACACCAUCGCUGGUUUGCCUCUGUUCCAAUGCAUCUCUGGGUGCGGGUAGGGGUAGGACGCGGUUCCGUUGCCGACACCCACAUCUUCGAGGGACACGCCGUUGCUCUGCUCCGGACCGCCUUCCGCACGCCCGCCUGUCUGCCUCGCCUCCCUCCAAUGUGUCUCUGAUCGUGGGAACACAGAACGGGCCGGCGGCCGCCGACGGCGGGAGGAGAGGUGGGGAUUUCUACUCAAUCGCCAAACAGGACUUCCAGAAGGACUCCACCUUUGGGGCUAACACAUCAGCUUAUCAAGUGAACAUUUCCGCACUUACAUUUGAAUACCAUACUUCUGUGUAGUCGGUGAUUCCACUUCUACCUUUCCAGUCACUUCCCAGUUCAUACUCUGCAGUCUGCAACAUCUGUUCAUCCGCUCCACACGGGUCCGACACUCCCAAGGCCAGGCGAUCAGCUCGAUGUGCUUCCACAUGGACUUCAUGGAGAUUUUAUUUCACUUGGACAUAAGGUAGCAGAUAUCAUUUUAGACAAUACAUGAGAUUUUAAUUUAGUUUUCCCAUUUGUCUCACACAAGUGUUUGAUUGCUAAUAGAUGUCUCUCAAUUUCUCAUGCCUUCUCAACAAUGAAGAUGCUCUUUCACUUGGACAUAAGGCAACAUAUAUCAUUUUAGAUUAUGCAAUGUAAUUGUGAUUCACUUUUUUCUUUUGUCUUCCACAAGUGUUUGAUUGCUAAUAUAUGUCUCUGAACUUCUCAUGCAUUUUCAGCAAUAUUAUUGAUGUCUAAUGCCAUCAUUCGUACCAAGGGGUUGGAAAAAUUGCAAGCAGGUUAUGCUACGGUCAUUCUGCUACACACGGUCCAGCUGAGUUUGUUUUUUCCCUUUUGAUUAUUUCGUGAAAAUGAAGCAUCACGCAAUAAAAUGUCUUCAUGUAUAAUCAAGAUUGGUUCGUUGAUAUUCCAGUAUCUCUUCUGUUCUUAUAUUCUAUUUAUUCAGCAUCUAGAUCCAUCCCAUUUAUUGAGUUCUUUUGGAUAACCCAAUACACCUGCAUCUCUUGAUUUAUCAGCAGGCUGCAUGCCACAGCAAUCCAACAACUUUUACCUUAUCUAGCAAGUGGAGGUAAGCACUCGAUCAUGCAUCAAUGUUAAUUCCUUCCCCUUCCCUUAGUGUUGUUCACUAGGACGGUCUAUCUACCUGCCACUUUUGAUUUCUCUGAAACCUUCUGAUCACUAGCAAUCCUAUACAUCAUAGAGGUAGGCAUUGUUGUUUCCUGCUUCAUUUUAAUUCUUCUGCUAGGAUUAAAUCUAUCACUGUAUGAUGAGAUAAUCCAGCCUAUGUUUCUAUAUUAUGAUCUGGUUGUGCUAAAAAUAACAUGAUUGUUUGUUUAUGCUUGCAGUUACCCAGUGGAUUGUAGGCACUCUUUUGUAUUUACCCAGAUCAAUACGACCACACACAACACUGACAACCGACAACUUUCUUUGCUCCUUCACAUUCGAAUGACUGACGAAGAUUUUCUCUAAUCUGGAACCUGACUAAUCUUUAUCAGUGCAAACUUCAGUCACUUUCAGGUAUCAGUGUAUGUAGUCUAUGCAUUAUUUUCUGUCAUCCCCAAAUCAGUAUGACCUCACAUAACAAUGAUGACUGAAACCUUCGUUGACCUUUUAUCAUGCGCCCACAUACGUCUGGCAUAUGGACAGUAUUAUUUACUCUUGAAUCCAUCUAAUGUUUACCAUUGCAACACUUGAACUAUUUUCAGGAAGACACUUAGCUUAACCACCAGAGUUAAUGAAAAGUACCUGCGUCGUGACAUACUACAGACCAUUCCGUAUCAUUCCAAAAUAAAAUGUACGCAUAACAUGCAUAUUUUA